GAUGAACGCUGGCGACGUGCCUAAUACAUGCAAGUCGAGCGAAUGGAUUAAGAGCUUGCUCUUAUGAAGUUAGCGGCGGACGGGUGAGUAACACGUGGGUAACCUGCCCAUAAGACUGGGAUAACUCCGGGAAACCGGGGCUAAAACCGGAUAACAUUUCGAACCGCAUGGUUCGAAAUUGAAAGGCGGCUUCGGCUGUCACUUAUGGAUGGACCCGCGUCGCAUUAGCUAGUUGGUGAGGUAACGGCUCACCAAGGCAACGAUGCGUAGCCGAACUGGGAGGGAGAUCGGCCACACUGGGACUGCGGCACGGCCCAGACUCCUACGGGAGGCAGCAGUAGGGAAUCUUCCGCAAUGGACGAAAGUCUGACGGAGCAACGCCGCGUGAGUGAUGAAGGCUUUCGGGUCGUAAAACUCUGUUGUUAGGGAAGAACAAGUGCUAGUUGAAUAAGCUGGCACCUUGACGGUACCUAACCAGAAAGCCACGGCUAACUACGUGCCAGCAGCCGCCGCGG
rnacentral:rRNA from 1 species